CCUGGGUAUAUGAGCAGGAGUUCUUAUUCUCUACUCCUCACUUGGCUUAGGCCUUGUAUGUCUUUCCUUGGAUCACUAAGGUCAGCUGCUGAGUGGUUGUGAGGAAUGCUGUCUGUCAGCAGGUCUUGGCACUCUUCUGCUGACCAGGGAUCUAGAAGAUCUGGGAGGAGUUUAUUCAGCCAAUCUGGAUACAAGCCAAAGAGUACUUUCACUGCAAGUCAGGCAAACAAUGUAAUGAGCUACCUUUUGAAGGAUUUGGCCAGGAGGUUCUCCAGUUAACAUUGGAGAGAGCACAACAGAAACAUUGCAUCUGGUUUGCCUCCAGUUCAACAGAGGUAGUGGGAGGUUAGGAAGUGUCUAUCAGAGAAAUGAAAAAUUGGUUGGGGAUGUAUGAAGAGAGACUGAGGAAGCUGCUCUUGUUUGGUCUAGUGAAGGGAAAGCUGGGGGAUCAUCUUGUAGUGAUUUAAAACUACUCGAAGGGCAGCUCUAAAGACACUGGAGCCAAAUUCCUGUAGGUAUUGCCAGCUGACAUACUGCAUUUUGGAUGGCUUACAGUGUUAGGAAAUAUGUUUUUAGCCGUAGAGGAAUGCAGUUCUGGGACAAUCCACUCAGAUGGUGUAGUGUCUCCAUGCUGGGGGGUUUGGAAGACUGGGCUAGGCAGAGCCACAGCUGGCAUGAUCUGGUGUUGGUGAGCAUCAUGUUUUGGACAGAAGGCUAGUUUAGAUCUCCAGAGGUCCCUUCCAAGCAACACUUCUGUGAUUCACCGAGUUACUAACCAAACUAUGGAAACCUAGAAAGAAACUUUCUUCCUACUCCAAGAAUUGAUCCAAGUGCAUUGAUUUUAGUAGAGAAGGUUUUCCAAAAGCAAAAUAGAAGAUGGAAAAAGGAAUUGGCUAAAUAUUCUUAAAUGAAGGUAGGCAUCAAAGUGUUAGGUGCAGGAGAUGGGUAAUGUUUUAUCCUCAGAUGCUGGUGACUCUCUUAGAUCUGCACUCAACUGGGAUUCUCUGUGUGAAAAGGAUUUCUUGUUGCCAUGAAGUGAGAUGUUUAAAUUGACCAAUGCCAUCUAGUACAACUGUCCACAUACUGCCAAUAUUUCUCCACUAGGCAAAAAGUAGAAAGUCCAAUGUUGGAAAUCCAUCUGAUUAAAAAAAACCAAAAAAACAAACCAACCAGAAAAACCAAACAA